UACGUAGGAGGCAAGCGUUUGUCCGGAAUCACUUGGGCGUAAAGCGCGUGUAGGUGGUGGGACAAGUCUGCUGUGAAAGCGUCCUGGCUUAACGGGCGAGGUCGGCGGAAACUGUUCGACUCGAGGACGGUAGAGGGGGGUGGAAUUCCCGGUGUAGUGGUGAAAUGCGUAGAUAAUCUGGAGGAACACCGGUGGCGAAGG
rnacentral:rRNA from 1 species